GGAUCACAGAAAAAAAGAUCUCGCCUCCUUCUUCCACUCUCUUCUCCUUUACCAUCUUCCUUCUUCUUCUCCUUCCUCUUUUUCUAGACUCUACUACAUAUUGGUCUUCUUAGUUCUCGUCUUUCUCCUCAUAUUAUCUUCGUUUGUUUUUUUCUUCUAAAUCGGAAGCUUUAAUCCAUACUUAACAAUGGCAGCUCGGACCGAGAAUCUCCCUCAACUUAAUCCGCCUUCAAUUAACAUACAGCGUGAGUGAAAAUGUUAGAAACGGACUCAUCAACAUCCUUCAACGCAGCCUCACUUAAAGGUGGAACAGGGCGGUCGACGAACGCCAUUGCUGUCACCGUUACCAUCACAGCCAUCGCUGCUCAUGCGGCAGCCUAUAUCUUUGUCAAAACCCUAACAUUUUGUUGGGUUGGGCUAUUAAUUGAAUCUUGGGUUUUUGUUAAUUGUAUUUUGGGCCUUUUAUUGUAUUUGUAAUGAGUUUUUAGUGGAUUUGGAUCUUUUUUAUAAAGUAAAUUUUCGUAUU